UACGAAGGGUGCAAGCGUUACUCGGAAUUACUGGGCGUAAAGCGUGCGUAGGUGGUUUGUUAAGUCUGAUGUGAAAGCCCUGGGCUCAACCUGGGAAUUGCAUUGGAUACUGGCAGGCUAGAGUGCGGUAGGCUGUAGUGGAAUUCCCAGUGUAGAGGUGAAAUUCGUAGAUAUUGGGAAGAACACCAGUGGCGAAGGCGGCUAACUGGUCCAGAUCUGACGCUGAGGUGCGAAAGCGUGGGGAGCAAACAGG
rnacentral:rRNA from 1 species